UAAUAUUUGGUAUAUUGAAUUUGAAGGGACAAGUAUUUAAUGUUGAGGCUGAAUUGUCCCUUGCAAGUAAGGAUCAACGCUUUAGUGUGCUAGCAUGCUCAAAUUGUAAGCAAUUGUUCACGAGAUAUAACGUGCGAAGGAAAAUCUACUGUACAAGUUGUCACCAUUCCACACAUCUUAGUCCUAGAUGUCAAUUCAAAGUUACUAUUAAGGACAACAACGAUUGCAACAACUAUUGUUUCAGAUGAAAUUGCAGAGAAAAUGUUGCACCUCACUUCAGAAGAAAUUUAUGAGAUUUGCUUCGUCAAGAAACAUUAUCGCUCCAAAAUGUGGAAGAUCAAUUGAACGGCAAGAUAUUCAACAUUCAAAUGAAAAGGCUAUU